ensembl:lncRNA
CAGAAGUUUUUAUAACAUAGAUGAGUAAUGGCUACAUAUGUUUAAAUUUUAUUAAAUGAUUAGAAGAAAUCGGAUCAAGUGUUCAGUGAUUAUUACCAGUUUUACUGGUGAUACAUGGUGAUAACUUGCUUAAAACACCUAUUUUUUCCCUCUGUUUUGUCUUCCAUGCCCAACAGAAAGGUUACAGGUGUUAUGGAAAGGAAUGUUUAAAGAAAUAUCCUUUGUGAUCAAAGAUGAAAGUAGCAUUUGAAGCAUAAAAUGAACAUUCCUGAUGCAGAGUUAGCACCCAGCUAAUCACUCAUGCCUGCUGCCACUGUGUUUUACUCAGUGAGCAUAUACUUUUCCAGGAACUGUUAGGAUUUCUAGCGAAGCUACAGUCAUACACAGAACUUUGUCUAAAUCCCUCAAGGAUGUGUUUAAAAAGAGCUGCCUGUCAGGGUGCAGUGGAAAUGCCAAAGCCCAGAUCACUAGCAUACUCUCUCCUUGACCAUGGGUGAAAAGAACCUCAGCCAAAUUUAAAGCACAUUUUCCCAGUAUGAGGCCAGAACUGAUUUCAGUUCUUGGCUGACACUGGGGUUUUGUUCAAAAAGAGCACACCACUCUGUCUGGUUCCCCAGUGCCUGUUUUAUAACCAACUUUUAGCUGUCAGUGAGGGGCUGGAAGCGAAGAGCUCUUGGAUAUGAUGAUACGAAUUUCUUUUUCUAGAACUGAGUUCUCUCUAUUUUAGGACAUAUUGAGUGUUCAUGCAAAAGUAUGUAUUUUGGUCAGUUUUGCUGUUUGUAUGCAUCUUUGUAGAUUAUUUUUCUACUUCUUACACUUUUAUAUUUUAUCCGUCUGUAGUUUAAGCCUAGAUAUGAAACAGCUUCGCAUUUUCUUUGUUGGAAAAAUAAUUCCUUAUUAAAUGGUAGAUUGAAAAGUAGACACUCUGAGGGCAACUCCUAUAGGACAGAGGGGAAAAAUAGCAGGAAAAAAAAGUGACUAGAUUUUUCUAGUCUUAGCCACUGCGAAUUGGAAAUAAUUAUUUCCUACUCAUAUUUCCCCCAAUCUCCCCUCACAAAAAAAAAAAAAAGAAAAGAAAAAACAAACCUUACUAAUUCCAAGCUAGGUAUUAAAUAAGAGCACCAUAGAAACCUCUGAGCUAUUUGGAGGCUGGUUCAAUGUUGUAUGUGUGUGUGGCUGGCAUCUGGAGUGGCAGAAGGUGGUAAAUUAGGGUCUGUCACUGUGUGUUCUUAUCUCCUUUACUACUCCUGCCUCUAUGAGAAGGAUGGGCAGUCUUCUGCCAGAGGCCUUGGUUGAACAGUCAGAAGUCUGUUUUCAUGGAUGUAUAGAAGUUACAUAAGAUGAAAAUCACAGAGAAUCAGAGACAAGAUGGCAGAAUAGAAGGACUUGAGCUUACCCCCUCUCACCAAAACAAUAAAAAUCACAACUUCUAAGCAACCAUUGACAAAAAAGACUAGAACCCAUGAGAAAAGCUCCAAAGACAAAGAGGGAGCCACAAUGAGACAGUGUGAGGGACACUUUUGCAGUCUGAUCAAAUCUUGUACCCACCAGGUGGGCAACCUACAAACCAGAAAAUAAUUAUACCACAGAGGUUCUCCCACAGGACUGAGAGUUCUGAGCCCCACGUCAGGCUCCCUAGCCUAAGGAUCUAGAAUCAGGAAGAGGAUCCCCCAGAGCAUUUGGCUUUGAAGGUCAGUGGGGCCUGAGUGCAGGAGCUCCACAGGACUGGAUGUAACAGAGACUCCACUCUUGGAGGGCACACACAAGGUCUCACACGCACUGGGACCCAAAGCAAAGCAGUAAUGCCACAGGAGCCUGGUCCAGACCUAUCUGCAGGUCUUGGAGGAUCUCCCAGGGAGGUAGGGGUUGGCUGUGGCUCACUGUGAGGACAAGCACACUGGUGGCAGAUGCCCCAGGGAAUAGUCAUUGGUGUGAGCUCUCCUGGCUGUCACCAUUUUGACAUCAUGUCUGGCCCUACCCAACAGCCUGCAAGCUCCAGUGUUAGGAUGUCUCAGGCGAAACAAUCAGCUGGGUGGGAACAUAGCUCCACUCAUCAGCAGACAGGCUGCCUAAUGUCAACUUGAGUCCAUAGCUACCUUUAAACCCACCUCUUGACAUGGAGCUGCCUACCAGAGGGACAAGACCCCCUACCUGUGGGCAGGUACCAGUCCCUCCCACUAGGAAGCUCUCCAGAAACAAGAGGAAUUUAUAAUCCUGCUGCCUGAACAGAAACCACAAACACAGAAAGUCAGACAGAAUGAAACAGAAGAGGAAUAUUUUCCAGAUGAGGGAACAAGAUAAAAUCCCAGAAUAACUAAGUGAAGUGGACAUAGGCAAUCUACCUGAAAAUUGGCGUAUUGAUAGUAUAGAUGAUCCAAGAUCUUAUAAAAAGAAUGGAGCCACAGAUUGAGAAGAUACAAGAAUUGUUUAACAAAGAGCUAGAAGAUUUAAAGAACAUGGUUGAAUAAUGUAAUAACUGAAAUGAAAAAUACACUAGAAGCAAUCAGUACCAGAAUAAAUGAGACAGAACAAUGAAUCAGUGAGCUGGAAGACAAAUCACUGCCAUGGAACAGAAUAAAGGAAAAAAUAAUUAUAAAAAAUAAUGACAGUCUAAAAGAACUCUGGGACGAGAUUAAACGCACCAACAUUCACAUUGUAGGGGUCCCAGAAGGUGAAGAGAGAAAGGGCCAGAGAAAACAUUUGAAGAGAUUAUAACGAAAACUUUCAUAAUAUGUGAAAAGAAAACACACUGCCAUCCAGGAAGCACAAAGUCCCAUACAGGAUAACCCAAGGAGGAACAUGCUGACACGGUAAUCGAAUUGACCAAAAUCAAAGACAAAGAGAAAAUAUUAAAAGCAGGAAGGGAAAAGCAACAAAUACAAGGGAAUCCCCAUAAGGUUAUCAGCUGAUUUUUCAGAAGAAACUCUGCAGGUCAGAAGGGAAUGGCACAAUAUGUUUAAAGUGAUGAAAAGAAAAAACUUAACAGCCAAGAGUACGCUAUCUAGCAAGGCUCUCGUUCAGAUUCGAUGGAGAAAUCCUAAGCUUUACAAGCAAGCCAAAGCUAGGAGACUUAAGCACCACCAAUGCAGCCUGACAACAAAUGGUAAAGGAAUUUAUCUAGGUGGAAAAGAAAAGGCAAUAAGUAGAAACAAGAAGAUAAUGAAAGGAAAGCUUACUGGUAAAGGCAAACAAACUGUAGAGGUAGGACGUCAGCUAUCCACACACAAAUCAACAGCAAUGGUGAGAAGAGGAGAGUACAAAUGCAGGAUGUUGGAAAUGCAUUUGAAAUUAAGAGACCAGCAACUUAAAACAAACUGGUAUAUGUAUAGACUGCUUUAUCAAUCUCAUGGUAACAGCAAAUAAAAAAUCUAAAAUAGGUAUACAGGAGUUCCCAUCUUGGUACAGUGGAAACGAAUCUGACUAGGAACCAUGAGGUUUCCAGUUCGAUCCCUGGCCUUGCUCAGUGGGUCAAAGAUCUGGCGUUCCUGUGAGCUGUGGUGUAGGUUGCAGAUGUGGCUCAGAUCUGGCGUUGCUGUGGCUGUGGUGUAGGCGGGCGGCUACAGCUGUGAUUAGACCCUUAGCCUGGGAACCUCCCUAUGCUGUGCGUGCGGCCCUAAAAAGGACAGAAACACAAAUAAAUAAAUAAAUAAAUAAAUUUAAAAAAUAGGUAUACAUACAAAAAAGGAAAAUCAAUCCAAACACAAUACUAAAGAUAGUCAUCAAAUCACAAGAGAACAG